rnacentral:rRNA from 1 species
AUGAGCAUCCUAAGUUGGAACUGCCGGGGUCUCGGGCAACCCUAGACAGUUCAGGAGCUCUUGUGCCUCAUGCACACUCACCAGCCCAAGAUCGUCUUCCUCUCUGAAACAAGGCAACGUGAGAGUAGAGUUAAGUCAGUAAAAUGGAGGCUAGGCAUCAACACUGCUUGA